CCUACGGGUGGCAGCAGUGAGGAAUAUUGGUCAAUGGGCGCGAGCCUGAACCAGCCAAGUAGCGUGAAGGAUGACUGCCCUACGGGUUGUAAACUUCUUUUAUAAAGGAAUAAAGUGAGGCACGCGUGCCUUUUUGAAUGUACUUUAUGAAUAAGGAUCGGCUAACUCCGUGCCAGCAGCCGCGGUAAUACGGAGGAUCCGAGCGUUAUCCGGAUUUAUUGGGUUUAAAGGGAGCGUAGAUGGGUUGUUAAGUCAGUUGUGAAAGGCUGGGGCUCAACCGUAAAAUUGCAAUUGAUACUGGCAGCCUUGAGUACGGUAGAGGUAGGCGGAAUUCGUGGUGUAGCGGUGAAAUGCUUAGAUAUCGCGAAGAACUCCGAUUGCGAAGGCAGCCUACUGGACUGCCACUGACGUUGAUGCUCGAAAGUGUGGGUAUCGAACAGGAUUAGAUACCCGAGUAGUC
rnacentral:rRNA from 1 species